GAUGAACGCUGGCGGCGUGCUUAACACAUGCAAGUCGGACGAUGAAGCCCAGCUUGCUGGGUGGAUUAGUGGCGAACGGGUGAGUAACACGUGAGUAACCUGCCCUUAACUCUGGGAUAAGCCUGGGAAACUGGGUCUAAUACCGGAUAGGAGCGUCCACCGCAUGGUGGGUGUUGGAAAGAUUUAUCGGUUUUGGAUGGACUCGCGGCCUAUCAGCUUGUUGGUGAGGUAAUGGCUCACCAAGGCGACGACGGGUAGCCGGCCUGAGAGGGUGACCGGCCACACUGGGACUGAGACACGGCCCAGACUCCUACGGGAGGCAGCAGUGGGGAAUAUUGCACAAUGGGCGCAAGCCUGAUGCAGCGACGCCGCGUGAGGGAUGACGGCCUUCGGGUUGUAAACCUCUUUCAGUAGGGAAGAAGCGAAAGUGACGGUACCUGCAGAAGAAGCACCGGCUAACUACGUG
rnacentral:rRNA from 1 species